UCGAUCCAAAUGCUAGCCGCUGACUGGUGUCUCCACAUGCCCAACACUUCUACGCCAUUUUUGUAGCUGAGGCUUCAUGAGUGCCUGUGGGGAUAGUCAGGCCAAGGUGAAGAAAUUAUUUUGGAGUGGCUGUGCCUUAUGGCACAUUUAAAGUGAUUGUGUCAAGGACCAGUUUAUAAAGAGACUCUGAAAUGAUGAGGAAAGAUCAUACUGACGACUUCUGUUGGAAGACAAGCACAGGCACCUGCUGGCCCGCACAUGACUUUGUAAGGUCACAGCUGAUCAAUGGCAGCCCCACACUGGAACCCAGAACUCCCGAGUCCCCGUUCAGUGCUUACUCUUCCUUGAUGCUUAUUUCCAAAGA